AUCAACUUUCGAUGGUAGGAUAGAGGCCUACCAUGGUGGUAACGGGUAACGGGGUGUUAGGGCACGACACCGGAGAGGGAGCCUGAGAAACGGCUACCACAUCCAAGGAUGGCAGCAGGCGCGCAAAUUACCCAAUCCCGACACGGGGAGGUAGUGACAAUAAAUAACAAUACGGGGUUCUUUCGGAUUUCGUAAUUGGAAUGAGUACAAUUUAAAUCUCUUAACGAGGAACAAUUGGAGGGCAAGUCUGGUGCCAGCAGCCGCGGUAAUUCCAGCUCCAAUAGCGUAUAUUAAAGUUGUUGCAGUUAAAAAGCUCGUAGUUGAAUUUCGGGGUUAGCAAAGUUGGUCGUGCCAUUGGUAUGCACUGGCUUUGCUGAUUCCUCCUUCUUGAAGAACUGUAAUGCUAUUAAUUUAGUGUUGCAGGGAAACAGGACUGUUACUUUGAAAAAAUUAGAGUGUUUAAAGCAGGCUAACGCUUGAAUACAUUAGCAUGGAAUAAUGAAAUAGGACGUUUGAUCCUAUUUUGUUGGUUUCUAGGAUUGACGUAAUGAUUAAUAGGGAUAGUUGGGGGCAUUAGUAUUCAAUUGUCAGAGGUGAAAUUCUUGGAUUUAUUGAAGACUAACUACUGCGAAAGCAUUUGCCAAGGAUGUUUUCAUUAAUCAAGAACGAAAGUUAGGGGAUCGAAGACGAUCAGAUACCGUCGUAGUCUUAACCAUAAACUAUGCCGACUAGGGAUCGGAUGAUGUUAAUUUUUUAAUGACUCAUUCGGCGCCUUACGGGAAACCAAAGUGUUUGGGUUC
rnacentral:rRNA from 1 species